UCCCUGGCGGUCCAGUGGUUAGGACUCUGCGCUGUUACUGCAGAGGGCCCAGGUUCAGUCCCUGGUCAGGGAA
rnacentral:tRNA from 1 species